UAGGGAAUAUUAGAAAUGGACGAAAGUCUGAUCUAGCGACACCGCGUGUGCGAUGAAGGCCUUCGGGUUGUAAAGCACUUUUUGGAAGGAAUAGGAAGGAAGGUACUUCCAGAAUAAGUCUCGGCUAACUACGUGCCAGCAGCCGCGGUAACACGUAGGAGGCAAACGUUAUCCGGAUUUACUGGGCGUAAAGCGCGUGUAGGUGGUUCUGUAAGUAGGGCGUGAAAGCUCCCGGCUCAACUGGGAGAGGCCGUUCUAAACUGCAGAACUAGAGGAUGGUAGAGGGAGGUGGAAUUUCAGGUGUAGCGGUGGAAUGCGCAGAUAUCUGAAGGAACACCAGUGGCGAAAGCGGCCUCCUGGACCAUUCCUGACACUCAGACGCGAAAGCUAGGGUAGCAAACG
rnacentral:rRNA from 1 species